CGUGUACAAUUGUCAUGUAAAUAUUCCAACCCUUUAGCUGUUCCUAUGGCGAUUUUCAUUCUCUUUGUCCACUCCAAAGUCGUCUCUCCAUGUAAAUGAUGUUUCAAGGAUUUUUUGGGAACAUACUCCAAAAUAAGCAAUAUAUCGUCUCCUUCAAUGCAGUAUCCAAGCAGCUUAACAAGAUUUUUGUGACUCACUCUGCUAAUAACCUUAAUCUCCUCCUCCGAUUCUUCUUCCGAAUGCGACCGUUCAUCCGGACGAAUUUUUAGUUUCUUAAUAGCAACUUUUUUCCCAUCUAGUGUUCCCUCAUAGACUAGACUAAAACCGCCCUCGCCGAGGAAGUUUCUGUUGGAAAACUUAUCAGUUGCUUCUGCUAGUUCAUCAUAGCUAUAUUGCCUCAGCCCAAAUCCUUCUCGUGAGGUAGAUCCAGCAUUAGAACAUAAGAGUAUAUAUUUUCCCUAUCCAUCAACCAUCUAGACAACUUCUCUAGUUUCAGAUCGGCGAUCUGCCUCAGUGAUUCUGAAACAAUUCCUCACGAAAGCCAUCAAGACCGCAAGUCGAUACAGUACUAUGAUAUAGUUGUAUAGUUAUAAACUUCAGGAUUGAGGACUUUAGAGAAAAAGAGAGGGUAAGGUUCAG
rnacentral:misc_RNA from 1 species